AUUGAACGCUGGCGGCAUGCCUUACACAUGCAAGUCGAACGGCAGCACGGGAGCAAUCCUGGUGGCGAGUGGCGAACGGGUGAGUAAUAUAUCGGAACGUGCCCAGUGAUGGGGGAUAGCCCGGCGAAAGCCGGAUUAAUACCGCAUACGACCUACGGGUGAAAGCAGGGGAUCGCAAGACCUUGCGUCAUUGGAGCGGCCGAUAUCAGAUUAGCUGUUGGUGGGGUAAAAGCCUACCAGGGCGACGAUCUGUAGCUGGUCUGAGAGGACGACCAGCCACACUGGGACUGAGACACGGCCCAGACUCCUACGGGAGGCAGCAGUGGGGAAUUUUGGACAAUGGCGCAAGCCUGAUCCAGCCAUGCCGCGUGCGGGAA
rnacentral:rRNA from 1 species